GGAUUAAAGGUGUAAUGGUGAGCACUCUGGACUCUGAAUCCAGCGAUCCAAGUUCAAAUCUCGGUGGGACCU
rnacentral:tRNA from 1 species